rnacentral:rRNA from 1 species
AUUGAACGCUGGCGGCAGGCCUUACACAUGCAAGUCGAACGGCAGCACGGGAGCAAUCCUGGUGGCGAGUGGCGAACGGGUGAGUAAAGUAUCGGAACGUGCCCAGUCGUGGGGGAUAACGUAGCGAAAGUUACGCUAAUACCGCAUACGAUCUAUGGAUGAAAGCGGGGGAUCGCAAGACCUCGCGCGAUUGGAGCGGCCGAUAGCAGAUUAGGUAGUUGGUGGGGUAAAGGCUCACCAAGCCGACGAUCUGUAGCUGGUCUGAGAGGACGACGAGCCACACUGGGACUGAGACACGGACCAGACUCCUACGGGAGGCAGCAGUGGGGAAUUUUGGACAAUGGGCGAAAGCCUGAUCCAGCCAGGCCGCGUGCAGGAUGAAGGCCUUCGGGUUGUAAACUGCUUUUGUACGGAACGAAAAGGUUUGGCCUAAUAAGCUGAGCUCAUGACGGUACCGUAAGAAUAAGCACCGGCUAACUACGUGCCAGCAGCCGCAGUAA